rnacentral:lncRNA from 1 species
UGCCUGGCUCUCUCCUAGAAAAGUCCAGGUGUAAGAAGUUGAUUUGAGCAGCCCUAGAGACAAAGCUUGGAAUCUGAACAUCUUCGUCCUGAAAACCCAGAAGCAGCACUGGAGAGAGGAAGAAGCUGAGAAGAGGAAGCUGGAGGAAGCAUGGAAAGCACCCAGGCAGCACCCAGCUGUGGAUCUGCAGGGUCAGCCUGAGGCAGGAGAGCCAAGAUGGACAGGCAGGGUGAGCAAGGUGCAGCACGGCUUUGAUGUGCAGACUGGACUGGUCUUCUCUAUACCUGGAACUCAGACUUCUCUGGUACCCAAGGAUGACUGUGAAAGCCAUGUGCUCUGCCCACAAAACCAUCUAAGGAGAAGGAAAUGAACUCUGACAGAAUAAUACUGAGGAACAAAUGCAACAAAAUAAUUAAUUUUCUGCAUACACUCUCCUGAGACUUGCCUGUUCAAAACCCACCUAAAAUCUGUUUCAUCAGAGACCCGGAUGUGGCUCUUGUCAAUGGCUUCUGAGUGGACAAUAAACCUGAAUAUGUUCUGUGUUUUCAAAUAGGACAUCUGGCUAGACUUUGACACUGGAGACUAUUUAACAGACUCCAAAGAGUAAAGGAUCACAUUAUUGAC